GGUAAUUUAGAAUGAGACCGAAU
rnacentral:misc_RNA from 1 species